rnacentral:rRNA from 1 species
CAAUAGCGUAUAUUAAAGUUGUUGCGGUUAAAAAGCUCGUAGUUGGAUUUCUGGCUUGGACGACCGGUCCGUGCUAUGCAUGAGUAUCUGGUUCGGCCUAGCCAUCUUGCUAGAGAACGCGUGCGUACUUCAUUGUAUGUCGUGGCAUCUAGCCUUUUACUUUGAGGAAAUGAGAGUGUUCCAAGCAGGCAUCCGCCUUGAAUACGUUAGCAUGGAAUAAUAAGAUAGGAUUACGGUCCGUUUUUAUUGGUUUAGCGGCCGUGAUAAUGAUUAAUAGGAACAGUCGGGGGCAUUUGUAUUUAACUGUCAGAGGUGAAAUUCUUGGAUUUGUUAAAGACAAACUACUGCGAAAGCAUUUGCCAAGGAUGUUUUCAUUGA